rnacentral:rRNA from 1 species
GUAGGGGGCAAGCGUUGUCCGGAUUUAUUGGGCGUAAAGAGCGUGUAGGCGGCUUGGUAGGUCCGCUGUGAAAACUCGAGGCUCAACCUCGAGAUGUCGGCGGAAACCACUUGGCUAGAGUCCGGAAGAGGAGAGUGGAAUUCCCGGUGUAGCGGUGAAAUGCGCAGAUAUCGGGAAGAACACCUAUGGCGAAGGCAGCUCUCUGGGACGGUACUGACGCUGAGACGCGAAAGCGUGGGGAGCGAACAGGAUUAGAUACCCUGGUAGUCCACGCCGUAAACGAUGGGUGCUAGGUGUGGGCGGUGUCGACUCCGUCCGUGCCGCAGCUAACGCAUUAAGCACCCCGCCUGGGGAGUACGGCCGCAAGGCUAAA